UACGUAGGGUGCGAGCGUUAAUCGGAAUUACUGGGCGUAAAGCGUGCGCAGGCGGUUACUUAAGUCGGGUGUGAAAUCUCGGGGCUUAACUCCGAAACUGCAUUCGAUACUGCCGUGCUUGAGGACUGGAGAGGAGACUGGAAUUUACGGUGUAGCGGUGAAAUGCGUAGAUAUCGUAAGGAAGACCAGUGGCGAAGGCGGGUCUCUGGACAGUUCCUGACGCUGAGGCACGAAGGUCAGGGGAGCAAACGGG
rnacentral:rRNA from 1 species